UUGUGCGUGAUAUCAAGUAUAAU
rnacentral:miRNA from 1 species